rnacentral:rRNA from 1 species
UCGGUAUGUAAAGCUCUAUCAGCAGGGAAGAAAAUGACGGUACCUGACUAAGAAGCACCGGCUAAAUACGUGCCAGCAGCCGCGGUAAUACGUAUGGUGCAAGCGUUAUCCGGAUUUACUGGGUGUAAAGGGAGCGUAGACGGCUGUGUAAGUCUGAAGUGAAAGCCCGGGGCUCAACCCCGGGACUGCUUUGGAAACUAUGCAGCUAGAGUGUCGGAGAGGUAAGUGGAAUUCCCAGUGUAGCGGUGAAAUGCGUAGAUAUUGGGAGGAACACCAGUGGCGAAGGCGGCUUACUGGACGAUGACUGACGUUGAGGCUCGAAAGCGUGGGGAGCAAACAGGAUUAGAUACCCUGGUAGUCCACGCCGUAAACGAUGACUACUAGGUGUCGGGGAGCAAAGCUCUUCGGUGCCGCAGCAAACGCAAUAAGUAGUCCACCUGGGGAGUACGUUCGCAAGAAUGCAACUCAAAUGAAUUGACG